rnacentral:lncRNA from 1 species
CAAAUAUUAAUCAAGCUUUCUUAAAGCAUAUAACUCUUCAUAUAAAAGCUAGGUAAAAACAUUAUGAGUCUGUAUUUUUAGAAUAACAAUAUCAACGAAGACACGUUGUAUGAAUCAUUGUCUUUAUAUAAUCACUCGCAAAUAUUAACAAAAAAUAAACCAUAAGCCUGCCUGACAACAACCUGGAUUGCCCUCUCUAUAGAUCUGACGCUUGCCACUUAUGAAAAAUACAUAUCUAGACAACAACUGGCUACUCAAACAUAUCAGUUGAUUGCAUCCCUUUACUCUUAAAACCCACUACCAUAUUAAAAAAUAUUCUCAAAUCAA